GAUGAACGCUGGCGGCGUGCUUAACACAUGCAAGUCGAACGGAAAGGCUCCUGCUUGCAGGGGUACUCGUGUGGCGAACGGGUGAGUAACACGUGGGUGAUCUGCCCUGCACUUCGGGAUAAGCCUUGGAAACUGGGUCUAAUACCGGAUAUGACCACAUUUUGGAUGUUGUGGUGUAAAGUUUUUCGGUGUGGGAUUAGCUCGCGGCCUAUCAGCUUGUUGGUGGGGUAAUGGCCUACCAAGGCGUCGACGGGUAGCCGGCCUGGGAGGGUGGACGGCCACAUUGGGACUGAGAUACGGCCCAGACUCCUACGGGAGGCAGCAGUGGGGAAUAUGGCACAAUGGGCGCAAGCCUGAUGCAGAGACGCUGCGUGGGGGAUGACGGCCUUCGGGGUGUAAACUACUUUCGCUAGGGACGAAGCGCAAGUGACGGUACCUGGAGAAGAAGCACCGGCUAACUACGUG
rnacentral:rRNA from 1 species